rnacentral:rRNA from 1 species
GACGGAGGAUGCAAGUGUUAUCCGGAAUCACUGGGCGUAAAGCGUCUGUAGGUGGUUUAAUAAGUCAACUGUUAAAUCUUGAGGCUCAACCUCAAAAUCGCAGUCGAAACUAUUAGGCUAGAGUAUAGUAGGGGUAAAGGGAAUUUCCAGUGGAGCGGUGAAAUGCGUAGAGAUUGGAAAGAACACCGAUGGCGAAGGCACUUUACUGGGCUAUUACUAACACUCAGAGACGAAAGCUAGGUAGCAAAUGGG